GACUGGGAUAACUUCGGGAAACCGGAGCUAAUACCGGAUAACAUUUGGAACCGCAUGGUUCUAAAGUGAAAGAUGGUUUUGCUAUCACUUAUAGAUGGACCCGCGCCGUAUUAGCUAGUUGGUGGGGUAAUGGCUUACCAAGGCAACGAUACGUAGCCGACCUGAGAGGGUGAUCGGCCACACUGGAACUGAGACACGGUCCAGACUCCUACGGGAGGCAGCAGUAGGGAAUCUUCCGCAAUGGGCGAAAGCCUGACGGAGCAACGCCGCGUGAGUGAUGAAGGUCUUCGGAUCGUAAAACUCUGUUAUUAGGGAAGAACAAAUGUGUAAGUAACUGUGCACGUCUUGACGGUACCUAAUCAGAAAGCCACGGCUAACUACGUGCCAGCAGCCGCGGUAAUACGUAGGUGGCAAGCGUUAUCCGGAAUUAUUGGGCGUAAAGCGCGCGUAGGCGGUUUCUUAAGUCUGAUGUGAAAGCCCACGGCUCAACCGUGGAGGGUCAUUGGAAACUGGGAAACUUGAGUACAGAAGAGGAAAGUGGAAUUCCAUGUGUAGCGGUGAAAUGCGCAGAGAUAUGGAGGAACACCAGUGGCGAAGGCGACUUUCUGGUCUGUAACUGACGCUGAUGUGUGAAAGCGUGGGGAUCAAACAGGAUUAGAUACCCUGGUAGUCCACGCCGUAAACGAUGAGUGCUAAGUGUUAGGGGGUUUCCGCCCCUUAGUGCUGCAGCUAA
rnacentral:rRNA from 1 species